rnacentral:rRNA from 1 species
GACGAACGCUGGCGGCGUGCCUAAUACAUGCAAGUCGAGCGCAGGAAACUGACGGAACUCUUCGGAGGGAAGGCAGUGGAAUGAGCGGCGGACGGGUGAGUAACACGUAAGGAACCUGCCUCAAGGAUUGGGAUAACUCCGAGAAAUCGGAGCUAAUACCGGAUAGUUCAUCGGACCGCAUGGUCCGUUGAUGAAAGGCGCUCCGGCGUCACCUUGAGAUGGCCUUGCGGUGCAUUAGCUAGUUGGUGGGGUAACGGCCCACCAAGGCGACGAUGCAUAGCCGACCUGAGAGGGUGAUCGGCCACACUGGGACUGAGACACGGCCCAGACUCCUACGGGAGGCAGCAGUAGGGAAUCUUCCACAAUGGACGAAAGUCUGAUGGAGCAACGCCGCGUGAGUGAUGAAGGCUUUCGGAUCGUAAAACCCUGUUGUAAGGGAAGAACACGUACGAGAGGGAAUGCUCGUACCUUGACGGUACCCUACGAGAAAGCCACGGCUAACUACGUGCCAGCCGCCGCAGUAA